rnacentral:rRNA from 1 species
AAGGAAUAUUGGACAAUGGUCGCAAGACUGAUCCAGCCAUGCCGCGUGCAGGAAGACGGCCCUAUGGGUUGUAAACUGCUUUUGUACCAGAGAAAACCUAUCUACGUGUAGAUAGCUGAUAGUAUGGUAAGAAUAAGCAUCGGCUAACUUCGUGCCAGCAGCCGCGGUAAGACGAAGGAUGCAAGCGUUAUCCGGAUUCAUUGGGUUUAAAGGGUGCGUAGGCGGGCUUGUAAGUCAGUGGUGAAAUCUCUCAGCUUAACUGAGAAACUGCCAUUGAUACUGCAGGCCUAGAGCAUAGAUGACGUUGGCGGAAUAUGACAUGUAGUGGUGAAAUACUUAGAUAUGUCAUAGAACACCGAUUGCGAAGGCAGCUAACGAAACUAUAACUGACGCUGAGGCACGAAAGUGCGGGGAUCAAACA